rnacentral:rRNA from 1 species
GACGAACGCUGGCGGCGUGCUUAACACAUGCAAGUCGAACGGGUCUGCCCUGUUUUUUGCGGGGUGGGUCAGUGGCGAACGGGUGAGUAACCCGUGAGUAACCUGCCCCUCCCUUCUGGAUAACCGCUUGAAAGGGUGGCUAAUACGGGGUGUUCUGGCUGUGCCGCAUGGUGUGGCUGGGAAAGAUUCCCUUUUGUGGUGUUUUGGCGGGGGAUGGGCUCGCGGCCUAUCAGCUUGCUGGGGGGGUGAUGGCCUGCGAGGGCUUUGGCGGGUGGCCGGCCUGAGAGGGUGGGCGGUCACAGUGGGAGUGAGGUACCACCCGGACUCCUGCGGGAGGCAGCAGUGGGGGGGAGUGCACAAUGGGGGGAAGUCUGAAGCAGCGACGUCGCGUGAGGAAUGGAGGCCUUCGGGUUGUGAACCUCUUUCGCCGGUGAAGAAGGUCCUGCUCUUUGUGGUGGGGUGGACGGUAGCCGGGUUAUGAAGCGCCGGCUAACUACGUG